rnacentral:rRNA from 1 species
ACGAACGCUGGCGGCGUGCCUAACACAUGCAAGUCGAGCGGAGAUAUUAGCAAUAAUAUCUUAGCGGCGGACGGGUGAGUAACGCGUGGGCAACCUGCCUCACACUGGGGGAUAACACAGGGAAACUUGUGCUAAUACCGCAUAACAUCAUGAAAGGACAUCCUUUUAUGAUCAAAGGAGCAAUCCGGUGAGAGAUGGGCCCGCGUCCAAUUAGCUAGUUGGUGAUGUAACGGACCACCAAGGCGACGAUUGGUAGCCGAACUGAGAGGUUGAUCGGCCACAUUGGGACUGAGAUACGGCCCAGACUCCUACGGGAGGCAGCAGUGGGGAAUAUUGCGCAAUGGGGGAAACCCUGACGCAGCAACGCCGCGUGAAGGAUGAAGGUUUUCGGAUCGUAAACUUCUUUGAUGGGGGACGAAAAAAAUGACGGUACCCCAAAAACAAGCCACGGCUAACUACGU